rnacentral:miRNA from 4 species
AUGACCUAUGAUUUGACAGACU